rnacentral:rRNA from 1 species
GUGCCUAACACAUGCAAGUCGGACGAGAAGUACGUAGCAAUACGUAUUGUAAAGUGGCGCACGGGUGAGUAACACGUGGGUAAUCUGCCCUUGAGUUUGGGAUAACCCCGCGAAAGCGGGGCUAAUACCGAAUAAGACCACGGGGACCAAAGUCCCUGAGGUAAAAGGUGGCCUCUAUUUAUAAGCUACCACUUGAGGAUGAGCCCGCGGCCCAUUAGCUAGUUGGCAGGGUAACGGCCUACCAAGGCGAUGAUGGGUAGCUGGUCUGAGAGGACGAUCAGCCACACUGGAACUGAGACACGGUCCAGACUCCUACGGGAGGCAGCAGUGGGGAAUAUUGCGCAAUGGGCGAAAGCCUGACGCAGCAACGCCGCGUGGGGGAUGAAGGUUCUCGGAUUGUAAACCCCUUUCGACCGGAAUGAAUCUCCUCUUGGUAAACAAUCAGGAGGAUCGACGGUACCGGGAGAAGAAGCCACGGCUAACUCUGUGCCAGCAGCCGCGGUAAGACAGAGGUGGCGAGCGUUGUUCGGAUUUAUUGGGCGUAAAGCGUACGCAGGCGGUUUGGUAAGUCAGAGGUGAAAGACCACAGCUUAACUGUGGCACUGCCUUUGAUACUGCCUUUCUAGAGUGCAUGAGGGGGAAGCGGAAUUCCGAGUGUAGAGGUGAAAUUCGUAGAUAUUCGGAGGAACACCGGUGGCGAAGGCGGCUUCCUGGCAUGUAACUGACGCUCAUGUACGAAAGCGUGGGUAGCAAACAGGAUUAGAUACCCUGGUAGUCCACGCCCUAAACGAUGGGCACUAGGUGUGGGAGGUAUCGACCCCUUCCGUGCCGCAGCUAACGCAUUAAGUGCCCCGCCUGGGGGAGUACGGCCGCAAGGUUGAAACU